UACGUAGGGUGCGAGCGUUGUCCGGAAUUACUGGGCGUAAAGAGCUCGUAGGUGGUUUGUCGCGUUGUUCGUGAAAACCGGGGGCUUAACCCUCGGCGUGCGGGCGAUACGGGCAGACUUGAGUACUGCAGGGGAGACUGGAAUUCCUGGUGUAGCGGUGAAAUGCGCAGAUAUCAGGAGGAACACCAGCGGCGAAGGCGGCGCUCUGGGCCGGAACUGACGCUGAGGAGCGAAAGCGUGGGUAGCAAACAGG
rnacentral:rRNA from 1 species